rnacentral:rRNA from 1 species
GAUGAACGCUAGCUACAGGCUUAACACAUGCAAGUCGAGGGACCGGCGGACGGGUGAGUAACACGUAUCUAACCUGUCCUUUACUCGGGGAUCGCGAAUCGAAAGAAAGAUUAAUACCCGGUGUAAAGGCUGGGGAUGCGUUCCAUUAGGUUGUUGGUGCGGGAACGGCUGACCAAGCCUUCGAUGCAUAGGGGUUCUGAGAGGAAGUUCCACCACAAUGGAACUGAGACACGGUCCAAAAUCCGACGGGAGGCAGCAGUGAGGAAGAGUGGUCAAUGGGCGUUAGCCUGACCCUGCCAAGUAUCGGGAAGGAUGAAGGCUUGUGGGUCGUAAACUUCUUUUAUAUAAGAAUAGUUAUUAUAUGAAUAAGGAGCGGCUAACUCCGUGCCAGCAGCCGCGGUAAUUC